UAGGGAACUGAAAGGACGACCUUCGGGAGCCUAUACAGGUGUUGCAUGGCUGUCGUCAGCUCGUGUCGUGAGAUGUUCGGUUAAGUCCGCUAACGAGCGCAACCCUCGUCGUAUGUUAUAUGUGUCAUACGAGACUGCCGGUAAAAAGCCGGAGGAGGGUGAGGAUGAUGUCAAGUCAGCAUGACCUUUAUAUCCAGGGCUACACACACGCUACAAUGGUCUGUACAAUGGGUAGCCAAGCCGCGAGGCGGAGCCAAUCCUGAAAGCAGGCCUCAGUUCAGAUUGCAGUCUGCAACUCGACUGCAUGAAGCCGGAGUUGCUAGUAACCGCAGGUCAGCAAUACUGCGGUGAAUACGUUCCCGGGUCUU
rnacentral:rRNA from 1 species